UACAGAGGGUGCAAGCGUUGUUCGGAAUUAUUGGGCGUAAAGGGCGCGUAGGCGGUGCGGUAAGUCUGUAGUGAAAUCUCUGGGCUCAACUCAGAGUCUGCUGCAGAAACUGCCGUGCUUGAGUGUGGGAGAGGUGAGUGGAAUUCCCAGUGUAGAGGUGAAAUUCGUAGAUAUUGGGAAGAACACCAGUGGCGAAGGCGGCUCACUGGCUCGUAACUGACGCUCAUGCACGACAGCGUGGGGAUCAAACAGG
rnacentral:rRNA from 1 species